rnacentral:ncRNA from 2 species
CAUCAGUUCGUAACUUCUGGCGCUGUUUUUGAGAGCUUAAUUGGGAAGCCGGUGAGAAUCCGGCACGGCCCCGCCACUGUAAUCGUGGAGGGCUGGCCACUAUGCCACUGACCGAUGAGGUUGGGAAGGCGGCCAGUCCGAGGAAGCGAGAGUCAGGAGACCUGCCAGAGGUCGGAUGGGUGU